rnacentral:sRNA from 1 species
UUUUUUACCAACGUGCUAUCGACCUAGUUAUAAAUCUCUCAGGUGGAGGUGAUGGGUUCGAGGCACGCUGGGAGAGAUCUCUUCUCCAAAGGAGAUAAAUUGAACCUGAUGUAGGUCACGCCUCUCGGAGAUGUAGAGUCUUUUGGACCUGAACUUCCAGAUAUUAAAAAAAAAAUAAAAAAAAAUUAAAAAAUCAAUGUUUUUUGCACACAAAAAAAGAAGUAAGAAUCAAUGUUCUAGUA